rnacentral:tRNA from 1 species
UGGCUCAGACAGUAAAGAAUUUGCCUGCAAAGCAAGAGACCCAGGUUUGAUUCCUGG